CAGCAGCCGCGGGAACACGUAGGUGGCAAGCGUUGUCCGGAAUUAUUGGGCGUAAAGGGCUCGCAGGCGGUUUCUUAAGUCUGAUGUGAAAGCCCCCGGCUCAACCGGGGAGGGUCAUUGGAAACUGGGAAACUUGAGUGCAGAAGAGGAGAGUGGAAUUCCACGUGUAGCGGUGAAAUGCGUAGAGAUGUGGAGGAACACCAGUGGCGAAGGCGACUCUCUGGUCUGUAACUGACGCUGAGGAGCGAAAGCGUGGGGAGCGAACAGGAUUAGAUACCCGUGUAGUCCCUGUCUCUUAUAC
rnacentral:rRNA from 1 species